ensembl:misc_RNA Y_RNA Y RNA
GGCUGAGCACAGUGGUGUUUAAAACUAAUUGGUCACAACCAGUUACAGAUUCCUUCGUUCCUUUGCCACUCCCACUACUUCACUUAGCCUUAA